AGAUUUCUCAACAGUGAUGUCACAAGAUUGACCGCACUGAUCACAAUAUGGAGUCUGGAGAAAGGUUACCAUCCUCAACAACCUCCUCUACUACACCAACUUCAUCUUCUAUACCUUCUGUGGCUUCAUCAGUUUCAAAAGGCGGCCUUUCCACUGGAGCUGCUUCACUUAGCUCUACAAUCAACCCAUGUGG
rnacentral:lncRNA from 1 species